rnacentral:rRNA from 1 species
GACGAACGCUGGCGGCGUGCUUAACACAUGCAAGUCGAACGGAAAGGCCCUGCUUUUGUGGGGUGCUCGAGUGGCGAACGGGUGAGUAACACGUGAGUAACCUGCCCUUGACUUUGGGAUAACUUCAGGAAACUGGGGCUAAUACCGGAUAGGAGCUCCUGCUGCAUGGUGGGGGUUGGAAAGUUUCGGCGGUUGGGGAUGGACUCGCGGCUUAUCAGCUUGUUGGUGGGGUAGUGGCUUACCAAGGCUUUGACGGGUAGCCGGCAUGAGAGGGUGACCGGCCACAUUGGGACUGAGAUACGGCCCAGACUCCUACGGGAGGCAGCAGUGGGGAAUAUUGCACAAUGGGCGGAAGCCUGAUGCAGCAACGCCGCGUGCGGGAUGACGGCCUUCGGGUUGUAAACCGCUUUCGCCUGUGACGAAGCGUGAGUGACGGUAAUGGGUGAAGAAGCACCGGCUAACUACGUG